UUGAUUUCACACUGCCGAGAAAAGCCUCUAGAUAGAAAAUAGGUGCCCGUACCGCAAACCGACACAGGUAGUCAAGAUGAGAAUUCUAAGGUGAGCGAGCGAACUCUCGUUAAGGAACUCGGCAAAAUGACCCCGUAACUUCGGGAGAAGGGGUGCUCUUUAGGGUUAACGCCCAGAAGAGCCGCAGUGAAUAGGCCCAAGCGACUGUUUAUCAAAAACACAGGUCUCUGCUAAACCGUAAGGUGAUGUAUAGGGGCUGACGCCUGCCCGGUGCUGGAAGGUUAAGAGGAGUGGUUAGCUUCUGCGAAGCUACGAAUCGAAGCCCCAGUAAACGGCGGCCGUAACUAUAACGGUCCUAAGGUAGCGAAAUUCCUUGUCGGGUAAGUUCCGACCCGCACGAAAGGCGUAACGAUUUGGGCACUGUCUCAACGAGAGACUCGGUGAAAUCAUAGUACCUGUGAAGAUGCAGGUUACCCGCGACAGGACGGAAAGACCCCGUGGAGCUUUACUGUAGCCUGAUAUUGAAAUUCGGCACAGCUUGUACAGGAUAGGUAGGAGCCUUUGAAACGUGAGCGCUAGCUUACGUGGAGGCGCUGGUGGGAUACUACCCUAGCUGUGUUGGCUUUCUAACCCGCACCACUUA
rnacentral:rRNA from 1 species